rnacentral:rRNA from 1 species
CCUUUGACGUUAGCGGCGGACGGGUGAGUAACACGUGGGUAACCUACCUAUAAGACUGGGAUAACUUCGGGAAACCGGAGCUAAUACCGGAUAAUAUUUCGAACCGCAUGGUUCGAUAGUGAAAGAUGGUUUUGCUAUCACUUAUAGAUGGACCCGCGCCGUAUUAGCUAGUUGGUAAGGUAACGGCUUACCAAGGCGACGAUACGUAGCCGACCUGAGAGGGUGAUCGGCCACACUGGAACUGAGACACGGUCCAG